rnacentral:rRNA from 1 species
AUUGAACGCUGGCGGCAGGCCUAACACAUGCAAGUCGAGCGAGCGGCGGACGGGUGAGUAAUGUCUGGGAAACUGCCUGAUGGAGGGGGAUAACUACUGGAAACGGUAGCUAAUACCGCAUACCAUCAGAUGUGCCCAGAUGGGAUUAGCUAGUAGGUGGGGUAACGGCUCACCUAGGCGACGAUCCCUAGCUGGUCUGAGAGGAUGACCAGGCUCGGUGGAAUUGAGGAAAGGUUCAGACGCCGACGGGAUGAAGCAGGGGGGAUUAUUGCAUAAGGGGGGCAAGCCUGAUGGAGCGAUGCCGCGUGUGGGAAGAAGGACGUCGGUUUGUAAAGCAUUUUCAGCGGGGAGGAGUUACCCUCAGAAGAAGCACCUGCUAACUCCGUGCCAGCAGCCGCGGUAAUUC